AGAGUUUGAUCAUGGCUCAGAUUGAACGCUGGCGGCAGGCCUAACACAUGCAAGUCGAACGGUAACAUUUCUAGCUUGCUAGAAGAUGACGAGUGGCGGACGGGUGAGUAAUGCUUGGGAACUUGCCUUUGCGAGGGGGAUAACAGUUGGAAACGACUGCUAAUACCGCAUAAUGUCUUCGGACCAAACGGGGCUUCGGCUCCGGCGCAAAGAGAGGCCCAAGUGAGAUUAGCUAGUUGGUAAGGUAACGGCUUACCAAGGCGACGAUCUCUAGCUGUUCUGAGAGGAAGAUCAGCCACACUGGGACUGAGACACGGCCCAGACUCCUACGGGAGGCAGCAGUGGGGAAUAUUGCACAAUGGGGGAAACCCUGAUGCAGCCAUGCCGCGUGUGUGGAGAAGGCCUUCGGGUUGUAAAGCACUUUCAGUUGUGAGGAAAAGUUAGUAGUUAAUACCUGCUAGCCGUGACGUUAAUAACAGAAGAAGCACCGGCUAACUCCGUGCCAGCAGCCGCGGUAAUACGGAGGGUGCGAGCGUUAAUCGGAAUUACUGGGCGUAAAGCGCACGCAGGCGGUUUGUUAAGCUAGAUGUGAAAGCCCCGGGCUCAACCUGGGAUGGUCAUUUAGAACUGGCAGACUAGAGUCUUGGAGAGGGGAGUGGAAUUCCAGGUGUAGCGGUGAAAUGCGUAGAUAUCUGGAGGAACAUCAGUGGCGAAGGCGACUCCCUGGCCAAAGACUGACGCUCAUGUGCGAAAGUGUGGGUAGCGAACAGGAUUAGAUACCCUGGUAGUCCAC
rnacentral:rRNA from 1 species